AUACGUAGGUGACAAGCGUUAUCCGGAUUUACUGGGCGUAAAGGGCGUGUAGGCGGUCUAGCAAGUCAGAAGUGAAAUUCCUGAGCUCAACUCGGGCGCUGCUUCUGAAACUGCAGGACUUGAGUGCUGGAGGGGAUAGCGGAAUUCCUAGUGGAGCGGUAAAAUGCGCAGAUAUUAGGAAGAACACCGGUGGCGAAGGCGGCUAUCUGGACAGUAACUGACGCUGAGGCGCGAAAGCGUGGGGAGCAAACAGGAUUAGAUACCCUGGUAGUCCACGCCGUAAACGGUGAAUACUAGGUGUAGGGGGUAUCGACUCCCUCUGUGCCGCAGUUAACACAAUAAGUAUUCCGCCUGGGGAGUACGGCCGCAAGGUUGAAACUCAAAUGAAUUGACGGGG
rnacentral:rRNA from 1 species